rnacentral:sRNA from 1 species
UUCGUCUGUAGCUUGAAGAGGAUGAGAACCUCCGAAGGAGGUUUGAGCCGAGCGUAGCGAGACCACGUUGCGCAGCAACGCCCGAAGGGGGCGCAUCUUUGAUGCGCAUAAUCCUCUCUCGCCGACCA